rnacentral:rRNA from 1 species
CCUACGGGAGGCAGCAGUGGGGAAUAUUGGGCAAUGGGCGAAAGCCUGAUGCAGCAACGCCACGUGAGUGAGGAAGGCCUUCGGGUUGUAAAGCUCUGUCCUAAGGGAAAAAUGGCAGGUGAUCUAAUAGGUCAUCUGAUUGAUGGUACCUUAGAAGAAAGCACCGGCUAACUUCGUGCCAGCAGCCGCGGUAAU